GUGCUGGCAAUGGCAGUUGUGGCUGGAUUAUUCAUGUAUCUGAGGAAGAGGAAAAAUAGACAACCUUAUAUUGAUUAUCCAUCUGAAUUGGCUGGAAUGAAUUCCGAUGAGAGUUCAGAGGUACAUAGUACCGCAAUUAGAAAAGGGCUGCAGCCAUGUGAACUUAAUGAUCAGCAUGCUGUUACUUGAUUAGACCAGAUGGUGUCAUGUGAUCAGGAGAGUCUGGGUGCUCUG